CCCGCUGAACUUAAGCAUAUCAAUAAGCGGAGGAAAAGAAACCAACCGGGAUUCCCUUAGUAACGGCGAGUGAAGCGGGAAAAGCUCAAAUUUGAAAUCUGGCAGGCUUGUUUCUGUCCGAAUUGUAGUUUCAAGGAACGUUUUCGCUGAUUGUAGGUGUGUAAGUCUGUUGGAAUACAGCACCAUGGAGGGUGAGGGUCCCGUGUCUGCACUAAACAAUCCGGCAUAUGUUACGUCUCCAAAGAGUCGCAUAGUUUGAGAAUGCUGUGCAAAGAUGGGUGAUAAAUAUCAUCUAAAGCUAAAUACUGGCGAGAGACCGAUAGCGAACAAGUACCGUGAGGGAAAGUUGCAAAGAACUUUGAAAAGAGAGUUAAACAGUACGUGAAAUUGUCCAAAGGGAAAUGUUGAAACACCCUCGCACGGGGCGCAGUCAUCAGCUCUUCUUAACCGGAGGGUGCAUUGGCUCGUUGCUCUGGCUGAAGAUCGGUUUGAAUUGCGGUAAAAAACUUGUGGAAGGUAGCUUCUUUUUGAAGUGUUAUAGCCACUAGACUAUGCCGUGGUUUGGACCGAAGACUUUGCUGUCGUCUUGGGGAAGCAUACCGCCUUGAAGGGGCCGUUUGUAGACAACCUGGUUGAUUACAGAUGGUGUUCUGAUAGCACGGUUGUGUACCACUUACGCACAUAGGAUCUUCAGAGAACGGUUUUCAGCAACCCGUCUUGAAACACGG
rnacentral:rRNA from 1 species